rnacentral:lncRNA from 1 species
UAGGCCCCGCCCCAUACCCCUGGGUGCUGUUCACACAUGCACACAGCUCCCCUCAAUGAGGGAAGGCAUUUGCACUGCCCCCCCCCCCCCCCCCCCCCCCCCCCCCCCCCCCCCCCCCCCCCCCCCCCCCCCCCCCCCCCCCCCCCCCCCCCCCCCCCCCCCCCCCCCCCCCCCCCCCCCCCCCCCCCCCCCCCCCCCCCCCCCCCCACUGGUGUAUGUUCACACAUGCACACAGCUCCCCUCAAUGAGGGAAGGCAUUUGCACAUGCGCCCCCCUCCCCUGGGCAAGGAAGGGUGUUCACACAUGCACACAGCUCCCCUCAAUGAGGGAAGGCAUUUGCACUGCCCCCCCCCCCCCCCCCCCCCCCCCCCCCCCCCCCCCCCCCCCCCCCCCCCCCCCCCCCCCCCCCCCCCCCCCCCCCCCCCCCCCCCCCCCCCCCCCCCCCCCCCCCCCCCCCCCCCCCCCCCCCCCCCCCCCCCCCCCCCCCCCCCCCCCCCCCCCCCCCCCCCCCCCCCCCCCCCCCCCCCCCCCCCCCCCCCCCCCCCCCCCCCCCCCCCCCCCCCCCCCCCCCCCCCCCCCCCCCCCCCCCCCCCCCCCCCCCCCCCCCCCCCCCCCCCCCCCCCCCCCCCCCCCCCCCCCCCCCCCCCCCCCCCCCCCCCCCCCCCCCCCCCCCCCCCCCCCCCCCCCCCCCCCCCCCCCCCCCCCCCCCCCCCCCCCCCCCCCCCCCCCCCCCCCCCCCCCCCCCCCCCCCCCCCCCCCCCCCCCCCCCCCCCCCCCCCCCCCCCCCCCCCCCCCCCCCCCCCCCCCCCCCCCCCCCCCCCCCCCCCCCCCCCCCCCCCCCCCCCCCCCCCCCCCCCCCCCCCCCCCCCCCCCCCCCCCCCCCCCCCCCCCCCCCCACUGGUGUAUGUUCACCCAUGCACAGUGCCACCUUUUAGGGAGAGAGUAGUGGUGUCACUAUUAAAUGUGAUAUUUCACGAAUGGUUCUUUCACUUUCACAGCUGAAGAAACACACAUCUCUUAAGGUAAGUGUUAGGGUUGGCACUGACAU